GAAAGUUAAAUCAAAAUCAUUUGGUAUUGGAGACUUUGUGUGGAAAUUAGUGCUUCUUGUUAGAUAGUAAGAUCCAAGGUUUGAAAAAUUGUCUUUGAAUUGGAAAGGAUCUUAUCGUCCAUCAAGUCCAAUAGUUACCAAUUUCAUAAUUGACUCCUAUAAACCAAAGGGAGUGUUUCUAGUCUACUUCCAGGCAGGAACUAGAGUCUCAAUGACUGCUUUCUUUGUGAUUGAAGUGAUCUCCACUUAGAUGCAUUACAAGGAAGGAUUGAAUCCAUAUAGACUACUAUGUCCCAUCUUCCCUACACCAACUAUUGAUUUUAUGGAAUCUAAAUUCAAAGGAUGGCGAGGACAAGGUGGAGGUUGUUAUUAUAAGUAACAAGAUCUUCUUGGUAAAUGCCAAUAUAGCUAAUAAAUGACUAUAUGAUCUGGACAUUGUCCAUAUUAGAUUCUCGGGGCAUGAUAAAUAUGAAUGGCUGACAAGUCUCAUGGCAUUGAAUAUGAUGGAGACUAUUUCUUCAAGGUUGGCAUACAUAUUGAAGAUUCAAAGCCAGUGGGUAUGGAAAGGACAUCUAUUGAAGACAUGAUCAAUGGAUGAAAUAUCAAAAAGAGUCAAGACCGUAAAAGAAACACUUGUAAGGAUAACUG
rnacentral:lncRNA from 1 species